AAUCAACGCUGGCGGCGUGCCUAACACAUGCAAGUCGAACGAGAAAGUGGAGCAAUCCAUGAGUACAGUGGCGAACGGGUGAGUAACACGUGACUAACCUACCUUCCAGUGGGGGAUAACCUCGGGAAACCGGGGCUAAGACCGCAUAACCUCGUGAGGUGAGAUUCCUUGCGAGCAAAGGGGUAAGACGCUGGAUGAGGGGGUCGCGGCCGAUUAGCUAGUUGGCGGGGUAACGGCCCACCAAGGCGAUGAUCGGUAGCCGGCCUGAGGGGGCGCACGGCCACACUGGAACUGAAACACGGUCCAGACUCCUCCGGGAGGCAGCAGUGGGGAAUUUUGCACAAUGGGGGAAACCCUGAUGCAGCAACGCCGCGUGGAGGAUGAAGUCCCCUGGGACGUAAACUCCUUUCGACCGGGACGAUAAUGACGGUACCGGUGGAAGAAGCCCCGGCUAACUCCGUGCCAGCAGCCGCCGUAA
rnacentral:rRNA from 1 species